rnacentral:lncRNA from 1 species
AGCCCUCUGAACACCUCUGGAGAAGACACCAGCAUGUUGAACAAUGAACAGGUGCUGACUUUGGAAGGCAGCCUACCCCAUGGCACCCUUAUCAUAUCUGGAUCGUGUCCCAUUUUCUCUGACGAUGACUUUUCCAAGAGGCUUUGGUCUAUAAAAUGGGGAGCAACUCUGCCAUCAGUAGUUCAGAGAAAAGAUCAGGAGGAGAAGCAGCUUCUGAUCAUUUUAACCAUCAUCAACUGAGCAAGGUAUCAGCCACCAGGAUGUGGAUGCUCUGGGCCCUGGCCACCAUGCUGGCCACGCAAGCUGGAGCACUUGACGUGCUAGAACCACCCCCAGUAGGAAGCCUUCCUUCCCCGCUAUCCUCUGUGCAAUAUGUGGAACCUCCCCCUGUUCCUCUGCCAUCCGAACUGCUUUUCAGAAGUCCCUCAGCCCAAAACAGCUUCCCACCCAGCAAAAAGUCACCUAAGACCCCAGAAGGCCAAUGUGCACCUGCCUCCAAGUACUUCCUGUCUGCCGAGAAAAUCAAUGAGUGUAAGUAAGAAUGGCUUUGCCUGGUCCUGACACCCCCUGCACAGGCUUCUCAUUUCUAAGCCAAAGGGGCUGGUCUCAUCUUCGGAACAAGUGGUUACCAGACAUGAGGAGGCCCCAGUAUGCCUUGGGAGCUGGUGGAGCAGGGUUGGCCUGUCAGUUCCACGACCAUCUCCCCAGCUGCCUCCCACUUUACACAGCACUUACAAUCCGCCAUCAUCUCAUUCAUCCUCCACCUGUAGCCCAUGCAGCAGUUCCUGCUGUUAGCUCCUAAACAGGUCCAAAGACUGGAAUCCAAGACCGUAAAGACCCUGGCCUAGGCUACUUGGCCUCUGUGCCCUAGACCGCAAGGUUCAAAACCCAAUCUAAGUUCCUUUCUGGCACGCUCAAAUCACUUUAGAUGAGACAUGCUCAACACCAG